CAUGAGAUUUUUAAUCUACAUCGAGCUGUGUACCCAGACUUGGAGGUUAAAUCCCUAAUGUGCCCUCGCUUUUGACGUGUCCAUUGGCGGAAUACACUACAUUUUCUUCGACCGGGGGAGUGAAAAAUUGGAUUCAAAAUCUCAUUCAAUUUGCGGAGCGGCGGGUCGCGGAGAGGGGUACCACAUCCAAAAAUGGCACGGAAAGAGACCGCAAUUCCCUUUUUAGCUUUUCCUUCCCCAGCGUAAAGCACAAUACUGCGCGCUGUGCAGAUCGGGCACUGUCGUCGACUUCACAUCUGCAGGCAAAUUAUCUUGUGUGAACUGACUUGAUUGGAAGAUGAGGCAACCAAAUGCCAAUUAUGCUUGGCUAUGUCAGUUGGUUGAGGAUAUUCUGUACAUAUUUCGGAGGGAGACAUUUCUGCUUGUGCAUAGGUAUCUGAGGGCUCGCACAGGCCGUUUGAGGCGUCGAAUCCUCGAAACGGCUAAACAGUACAAUGUGAUUUGUAGGUACCUAAACAACUGCAUAGAAUUGGUCGUCUACUUCAUUUGAGUGAUGCAUACUGUGUUGCCAAUAUACGAAUGGAUCGUAACACAUUCGCACGUCUAUGUUAUCUUCUCACUGAGCGUUGUGGGAUGCAUACCGGCAAGGUCGUUGGGGUGGAGGAACAAGUUGCCAUCUUUCUAGGAGUUCUUGCGCACCACAAAAAGAAUAGGGAAGUUGGGUUUGAGUUUUGGAGGUCGGGGGCCACUGUUUCAUACUAUGUAAACAAGGUCUUAGGUGUUGUUUUGUCCUUGCAUUCAAUUUUGCCUUCAAAACCUACACCAGUCACUGACAAUUGUGCUGAUAAUCGCUGGAAAUGGUUCAAGGGUUGUCUACGUGCUUUGGAUGGCACACAUAUACCCGUGUUAGUCAGUAGCUCAGACAAACCUCGGUACCGGUCUUGGAAGGGGCAAAUAGCUACAAACACACGAGGUGCCUGUGACCGUAACAUGCAAUUUGUUUAUGUCCUGCCCGGAUGGGAGGGAUCAGCUGGGGACUCUCGUGUGUUGAGGGAUGCGCUGUCACGGGAAAAUGGACUCAAAGUCCCACAAGAUUCGGGCGACUAUGGAAGCUUUGCCUGAUUGCUCUUGUGGGAAGGGAAAAAUGGAGUUGCAAAUCGCAGGGAAGACGGCUAUGAAUCCGGGCAUGUCCUACUGGAAGUGUCCAUCUGGAGGAAAACAUUCGGGAUCAUUCAUGUGGUGCGAUGAGAAAGCAAAGUAUAACGCAGCCCCUGAAGCCCCCGUUGAGGGCCACAUUAUUCAGAAGUUCAAUGCAAUUGGGCAGGCCGCAAAAGCAGAUGUCCCACGUUCAGGUUGUGAUGCGAUAAACCCUUUUAUUUGCACCAUAUGUGGGUUGCACAAUGCCCACUCCUCCUUGACCUUGCAUCUUGUGUUUGGAUUCAUGACAUUUGUGUUUGUUCUCCUGGGUAUUUUGAUUGGGAAGGUGUUUUAAUAUACGAUUGUAAUGGCCAUUUUUUUGUCUGCAUAGUCUGGUAACUGAUAUGAAGCUAAAUGCUCUGCUUGUAAUGGAUUCUGAUUUGUCGCUUUUGUAGAAGAAGGCAUAUUUAACUACUUGUAAUGGAGACUUAUUGUACUACCUAAAAUUGCUAGCUGCUAUGAAUCUUUAUUUGGGAUAUUGCAAA